AAAGAUCUGCUUUAAACCAGCAGAUAUUGAGGCCAGAACUCUAUCUGGACUCAGUGUGGCUGCAGCAGGGGAUGUGACUUUUAAAAUUGACACAACUUCAGGAUUUUCAGAAACCAUGACCAACCCAAGAACAAGAGGUGUAAUGAUUAUUGUGUUCGUUUCAGCUGCUAUCCCCCUUUCUGUGGAGUGUGCUGGACCAAGUGGUAUGACUGCGACGAUCCCAGUGGAAUAAGGGACAGGGAGCUUUUGAGUAACCUGAGGACAGAAAACCCGGGAAAAAUCUGUGACCACCCUCUGAACAUUAAGGCUGUUACAAUUGACACAUUGACCCCAGCCAUCUCCACAGGGCAGACCUUCUUUAUCUACAAUCCAACUGACGGAUUUGUUUGCCGCAAUAAGGACCAGAAAUCUGGCGCGUGCCGUGACUACAAAGUUUGGUUUGGGUGCCCAUGCAAUUAAGUCCUGACUCCACCGCAAACACUGAAAAGGAUAAGAAGACACAACAUUCACAUACAUUUUUCUCAGAUUUUUCUUUACUAUUAUUUUUUCUUUCUUACUGGGCCUGAUGGAAGCAGUAUAAUACUCUUUUUUCACAGCAGAUAUUUAAACUUGUAGGAAAAGCUAAUGUAUAGUAACAUUAACGGUGGCUCUGUUCUAUUCAAGUGUCCCAGUGAGCCAUGUGUGACAGUGAGCCAGCGAGCCAGCAUGUGAGAUCCUGCUACCAGGACCCUAAAGGCUAUGCAGCUAAAUGGAAUUCAGUCAUAGUUCAUUUUACAAUUUACGCCUGUGCUUUUCUUACCUACAUGGCAAACUAUCUCCUGUGGAAAAAGGCCUAUUAUGUGCUUUAUCAGACUUCUUUUCAUUCUAGUGAUUAUGAAAUCAUUAUCUUGUAUUGUAGGAAAUAAAUCAACAGUAAACCGCAAUAAAUACUGCUAACAAAAAGCAAAUUCCUGUGAGGAAAUUAUCAGCUUUGGCUUUUCUAAUUGCAACUGUGCUAAGUCAAGACUUGUUCUCCUUGUUUUUGCCCAUGCCACAUUACACACUCUGAAGUGAACAACACAUUGUGUCUUUACAAUGUACUUUCUGAGGGCAGUAUGCAUGUCAACAGUUUCAGUAAAACCAUAAAAGAAUUUCACUG